GAUGAAGAACGUAGCGAAAUGCGAUAAGUAAUGUGAAUUGCAGAAUUCAGUGAAUCAUCGAAUCUUUGAACGCACAUUGCGCCCGCCAGCAUUCUGGCGGGCAUGCCUGUUCGAGCGUCAUUUCAACCCUCAAGCUCUGCUUGGUGUUGGGGCCCUACGGUUGACGUAGGCCCUUAAAGGUAGUGGCGGACCCUCUCGGAGCCUCCUUUGCGUAGUAACUAACGUCUCGCAUUGGGAUUCGGAGGGACUCUUGCCGUAAAACCCCCAAAUUUUCUAAUGGUUGACCUCGGAUCAGGUAGGAAUACCCACUGAACUUAAGCAUAUCAAUAAGCGGAGGA
rnacentral:misc_RNA from 1 species